rnacentral:lncRNA from 1 species
UCUUCCAUCUCUAAUCGCCACCAUCGCGUUUUUUGUCUGUCACCGCCACGUUUUACAAACCCUAGAUAUCAACACAGAUUCAGCAUUUGUUUGAAGGUUUAAAUCGAACAAUUGAUAUGAUGCUGAUAUAUAGAAGAAAUAUAUAUUUCUUGUCCUAUGUUGAGUUAUCAAUUGUUGCAGGUUUGUUUAGGAUCAUUAAAAACAAACUUUAAUCCAUCAAUUCUUGAUCAAUCUGAUGUGUAAGUCAAGCAAACUGAUAAAAGGGAAUGUGUAACGGCGACCCACCAGAUCCGGGGAUAGAGGGACGCAUAUGGUAUCAGACGAGACGAGACGGUGAUGAUUCUGACCAAGAAUCAUAUGGUGGUACAAGGUGAUGGCGUUUUAGGUGAUGAAAGUUCAGAUGUCUUUGCAACAAACUCAAAUGGACAGGUUCUAUUUACUAAUUAGUUUACUGUGGAUGCGGUCAUCAAUUCGAAAUCUAGCCAGGAGGAUGUGUUUCAGUUGGUUGGUAUUUCCAUGGUUAAGUGUGCAAUGGUAGCUUACAACACUUCUAUGGUGGCUUAUGCACAAGUACUUUUUUCACUAUUUGGUGACAAGAUGGCUGACUCAAUGGAUAUGGGUGGACAUUUAUACACAUACAAUGAAGAUUUGAGUUAAUCACGGAUGCUUGAUUGUGUGUGCUGGCAAUCGGAUGCAACUGUAGCCAACUUCAGUCAUUGAACCUAGGAUGGUUAGUCGGUUUUGCGUUAUUCGGGUUCGGGUCGGGUUGUUCGGUUUUCGGGUUUCGAUGUAA